AAAAAUAGUAUUAAAGUAUCUGCGGAAAAAUCAUUGAAUUCAACUUCUCUUUGUUCGACAUUUAUAUUUUACAUUUACGUUUUCAAAUUUUAUAUGACCUCGCUGUGAUUUUGUCAUCUCUUGCGAUUUCCUUGCCAACUUGUAAAUUGUAAUUAAUUUGUCGUAGCUUUAGUUAUCACAUUCAAAUCUGUCGACUUAGCGCCAUUAACCGUUACAUAUAUACAGCUGUUCUCGUGAAUACAUAUUAUGUAAUCACCUUCUUUCAUUUCUGUACAUAACUUAACAAAGAUUUUCAUUAUUAACCGACUUAAUGAAAUAUUAAAAACUUAUUAGCUAUUUUCAUUUCAACUAUCCUUUAAUAUCCAUCUGCGCAUUUAGUGCGUAAAUCGUAUCUUCACGAGUUAUCUUCACAAUACACAUAAAGAAGAAAUUAUCUUAUUGUAAAUACAUCUCAUUCGUUUGCAAUUUAAAUAAAGAUUAGAUGCAUGUAUUACGAGUAUACAUUGCAGAUGUGUUUACGUAAAUUCAUAUUUCUAUGAAUGCUAUGAAUUGAAGGUACAGAACCUAAACAGAAAUUCCCUUUGUCCACUAUUAUUGUAAGUACAACGAGUACUUAAGUAUUCUUUGUAUAUUUCGCAUAAACGCAUAAAUAUUCGCAGGCUAGUUAUAACAUUUAACUGGAUGAACCAAAUCUCUUCGUGGAGCCUGUAAUUCAUGAAAUAUGAAUUUGCUUAAAUAUUUGAUUAUAACGAGUACUAUGCUUCAAUAUGUUUUGCACAUUGUGCAUUUAUUUUUUUGCACAUUGAAAUUUCUUGGAAACGUACGUGUGAAUACACAUACGUAAUCCAAUCAUGACAUACGAAUGGCCGAAAAAUCAUAGGAACAGUUCGAUUUUCUGCAUUGGCACACCUGCCUGCAGGUUAACCUUAUUCAAUGAGCGGUUCCUAGCGUGCGGUGAGGUUCGCAUUGUGGUGAUAGUGUCGAAUUGGUAUUCAAAUGACAAGUUGUGUCGGUAUUUCAGCUAAGUAAUAACAAUAUUUUUGAAUUAUCCGGCGUCUGUAUUUGUAUGAAACGUUGAGCACACCGUUGAAAAUUUCAAGCGUGUUAGUUAAUCAUGGAAUUGGAGAAUUGUAAUUCACAUGGGGAUCACGUUCCCACUACACCUCAACACGAAAAUGAUAGCGGAAAUAAAAAGUGGUACCGACAAGCUAGUCAAAGGUUAGUGAUUAAUUUCUCAUUAACCGUAUGCAAAAUUUUGAAAUGUUAAAAUUUGCCAAUGUAGCUUGACUAAGAAAUUGAUAAGACAGAGCAGUGUCAUUUAAAAAAUAUUCAAUGAUAAAUUUUAUAUUGAAAUUUAAUAUUGAAUUUUAUAUUGAAAUUUAAUUCUAAUGCAGUAGAGCCUCUGUCAUCCAAACCACUGUUUUCUUUAAACACAUUAAUAUCCGAAUGUUGUAUUACAAAUAUUCUAUUCUAAUGACACAAUGUUCAGAUAAUGAAAUAUUUGUACAAAGGAGUGUAGUACAAUAUUUGUACUAUAGUAAAAAACUGAUCUUCAUUUUAUAAUUACCAUGUAUAUUCCAAUGGAUAUAUUUAUUUACUUUAGUAUAUAUUUUAUUUGUUAUUUGUUGAAAAGAAACUUAAAUAUACCCAUAGAACUUAAGCAUCUUGAAUUCAACAUCUUGUGUUCUCCGAUAUUCUUCAUUAAAUUGCGGAAGUUUAUGGGAAAUUUAAACGUACAAGAAUGCACGCACGUUAUGUAAAAAUGAGUAUAAAACAUUCCAGAUCAAGUUACAUUUACUUGGCGGAUGAAAUAAACGUUGGUCCCACAAGGUCCCGUUGUUUCUAAUACUCUGUAUUUAUGAAAAACAUGAAUUUGCAUGAACAUCCUCAGUCUACUUAUUAUUAUCUUCGUCGAGUCACCCCAAAGCGCAGAAUUUUACGGUAUUCAGUGAUCCUCAAGGCCGCGCCAACAGCCUACGCAGCUCAUGCUACGCGAAAAUAACUUUAUGUGUAGGUAUUUCAAUCUUUAAGAGGUCUUGUAGAAACAAAUUUUCUACAUUUCCUCCGUCGUCGUUGUUUUUCCCGAUAUUGAGACGAUUUCAGAAUUAUUCGGGCGUACGAUGUUUUUCUAUACUUUCUUCUGAACCAUGCUAUCAUCGGGGCUCAGAUAACGCAGACGACUGUUAAAACAUCUCACUGAUAAUGGUAACAUUUCCUAUUCCAUCACGAAGACUCGUGUUUUUAAUCAUUGGCAAGCAGCUAAUGAGAAAUUAAGAUACACUU